UGCAUCUCAUAAGAUCAAAAAUCGAACCCUCCUCCCUCUCCUCCUCUCUCUCGAAUCCUCAUCUCAUCUUCUCGAUCUUCCCACCCUUUUCUCCAAUCCCCCAAUUCCGAUUUCCGAUCUGGAAUUCGUUAGGUUUUCCGAUCUCCCCGUCAUCAGAUUUGGGCUUUGCCCUUCCGCAUUCUCACCCUCUAAACACUCGUUUUGUUUUGAAAUCUGUGUUGUCCCAAUUUUGGGAAUAUUUGCUAAAUUUGGCGGAGGUCUACAGUGGUGGUGUUCGAGGUUAGGGUUUGCUUCGAAGUAGAAACAUUUUGGUUUUUGGGUGGUGGUGAGAUGGCGGCUUCUGAGAGUGGGAAAAAUGCUUCGUCUCCAGCUUCGGGGACUCCGCAGCCGCCGCCGAGGAAUUACGGAAUCACGGCGCCGGUUUCUCUCUCCUCGCCGUCGCAGUCUGAUCUUCAACGGAAUAUCGAGCUCGAAAAGUUCCUGGUUGAUUCGGGGCUGUAUGAGAGCCAAGAGGAGGCUGCGAAAAGAGAAGAGGUUCUCGGCCGCAUUGGUCAGAUUGUGAAAGACUGGGUGAAGCAGUUGACGCGCCUGAGAGGCUAUACGGAUCAGAUGGUGGAGGAUGCGAAUGCUCUCAUUUUUACUUUUGGAUCGUAUCGACUUGGGGUUCAUGGGCCUGGAGCUGACAUAGAUACUUUGUGUGUUGGACCAACUUAUGUGAAUCGAGAGGAGGAUUUUUUUAUUAUUUUGCAUGAUAUCCUCUGUGAAAUGGAAGAGGUAACUGAACUUCAACGAGUUCCUAAUGCUCAUGUUCCAGUCAUGAAAUUCAAGUUUCAGGGCAUAUCAAUUGACCUUUUGUAUGCAAGCAUAUCUCUCUUGGUUGUCCCAGAGGAUCUCGACAUCUCAGAUGAAUCUGUUUUAUGCGAUGUUGAUGAGCAAACUGUUCGAAGUCUGAAUGGUUGCAGGGUUGCAGACCAAAUUCUUAAGCUUGUCCCAAAUGUUGAGCACUUCCGCACGACACUCAGGUGUUUAAAGUUUUGGGGCAGAAGGCGCGGUGUUUAUUCUAAUGUAACUGGAUUCCUUGGUGGUGUAAAUUGGGCUAUCUUAGUUGCUCGGUUAUGUCAGCUUUAUCCCAAUGCAAAUCCCAGUAUGUUGGUUUCUCGAUUUUUCAGAGUGUAUACUCAGUGGCGUUGGCCAAAUCCUGUACUUCUUUGUUCAAUAGAAGAGAAUGAACUUGGAUUACCUGUAUGGGAUCCUCGUAAAAACCCUCAGGAUCGUUUUCAUCAUAUGCCGAUAAUAACUCCUGCAUAUCCUUGUAUGAACUCUAGUUACAAUGUCUCAGUAAGUACUUUGCGUGUUAUAACAGAGCAGUUCCACCAUGGUAAUAGGAUAUGUGAGGAGAUUGAGCUGAAGAAAAGCCAGUGGAGCACUCUGUUUGAUCCUUAUAUUUUCUUCGAGGCAUACAGAAAUUAUCUGCAAGUGGACAUAGUAGCAGCCGAUGAUGAUGAUCUGUUGGCAUGGAAGGGGUGGGUGGAAUCUCGGCUUAGACAGCUCACCUUGAAGAUAGAGCGGGACACAAAUGGGUUGCUUCAGUGCCAUCCUUAUCCAAAGGAAUAUAUAGACUCAUCCAAACCAUGUGCGCAUUGUGCUUUCUUUAUGGGUUUGCAAAGGAAAGAAGGAGUAAAAGGUCAAGAAGGUCAGCAAUUUGAUAUACGUGGGACAGUUGAGGAGUUCAGGCAUGAUGUAGACAGGUAUGAUUUUUGGAAAGAUGGGAUGGAUAUGUAUGUAUGCCAUGUUCGCCGGAAGCAGCUUCCUUCUUUUGUCUUCCCUGAUGGGUAUAAACGGCCUCGAUUAUCAAGACAUGUAAGCCAGCAAGAUGAAGGAACUUAUGAAGGACCUUCUGGGUCUACUGAGAGGCGUACAAAGAGGAAAGUUAAUCCAAAAGUACAGGAUACGAAGACUGAACUAGAGAAGCAGACCUCUAUCAGCCCACUUCGGGUGGAGUCUGUAUCCCCAGAAAAUAUUGCAGGUAGAUCUGGUGGAAUACCUGGCUUCAGUGAUGCUGGAAGGUUAGAGUGUCUACCGACCAGAGUUGCAGAUAGCAGUUCUGGUGGACAAUUGGAUAGUGUAAAGGGUACUGGGAUACCUGUGGGGUUUGUCGAAAAUGUUGUGAGGAAUUCCAUUGCCGAGAGUGACUCGACAGCUACAUGUGCUUCUGAAUUCCCUAGUAUCUGGAAUGGGGUAAAGCCUUCACAACAGGGUAAGGAGUCGGUUCAUCCAUCUGCAGUAUCUUUCAUGGGAUCUAAGGAAACAAGCCAGAUUGAAAUAACUGGGGACAGAGCUGCAAAUGUGGUUUUAGUGGACAUGAAGAAUAUGGAGACCGAUUCUACUGGUAGUAUGCUGAAUUGGACAGAGGGUGCUAUUGAUGUUGACCAAGAAUUAGUCAAACAAUGUAAUCAGACUUUGGGUGUGGACAAUGCUGAAGAUGUACUAGGAACAACUUCCAGCAAUCGGAAGCUCAAUUGCGAGGAUGAUGUUCUUUCAUCAGGAGCAGAGUUCCUUCGGAAAAGCGGCACUGGAAAUCUUCAAGGCGUACUUUAAAAUGCCCGAUCAGUGGAGUUGGAGGUCCUGCACCACCAUUAUAAGCGCUUUGUUUCCAGCAACUAUGCUUAGAUCUAUAUAUCUAUCCUGUUUCGUUCCUUUACAUUUUUUACUUUCAUCUUUUCUACACAAGAUUUUUGAGAACCUGAGUCUUUCUAAUCCUUGAUUUUCUAUUGUAUAGCCAACUGUAAUCAUGAAUUCUGUCAAUUUGGAAGCUGGAGCUAGGUUAACUUUGAGAUUAAUGGAAUGACAUAGCUGAGGCGAAUUGUUGAAGAGGGAGUCUCUAUUAGAGAAAGAGCCAGAACAAUGGUAAGUGCCGCUUAAAUUCUGGCUUUCACUAUGGCUUAGGUGGGCACAUGUUAAAUGUCAAGCCUAGUGCCUGUGAAGGUUCAGCAAUGCAAAUUUCACAGCGUGAUGGCCUAAUGCCUGGUGGCAAGACAUUGAGCGCCUUGAAUUUGAACCGACUAUGCUGGUGCUUUUGAGGACUUGGUCAGGGUGGGAAGGAAGAUCUGCUGCUCGGCAUUUAUUAAAUCUCUAUGGAAAGAGUUCCCACAUGACUUAAAAAGGACGGGAAGGUAGCUCUUGGCAAAAAAGGUUCUACAAAAUUUGGGCUGCAAACGGUUACCUUCGCAUUUUUCACCUUGUAUGACACUCGGCAAACUUGUUUAGUUUGUAGUUUGUACCCGUAAAGCUUUUGCAAUGCAAUUUUAAAUACAAGCAUGUCUUCUGC